CUAUAAAUUACUCUUGAUAUUGUGGAAGUGGGCACUGAGGAAUCACACCAAGACUGAAAAGGAAAUGCACUAGAAGUUGGAUUUGUUAAUAGCUUUCUCUGACCCGUUAUGAAAUAUUUCAAAUUUGGUAGUUUUUCAGAAGAGUUUACAUCAGCAUUUUGAAGGAGGAUAAUGAGAUCACUUGAAGUCUCCAGAGCUGCUCCCAGGAGAUG
rnacentral:lncRNA from 1 species